rnacentral:rRNA from 1 species
GACGAACGCUGGCGGCGUGCUUAACACAUGCAAGUCGAACGGUGAAGCGCCUUCCUUUUUGGUGGGUGUGGAUGAGUGGCGAACGGGUGAGUAACACGUGAGUAACCUGCCCCCUUCUUCUGGAUAACCGCAUGAAAGUGUGGCUAAUACGGGAUAUUCUGGGUCUGUCGCAUGAUGGGUCUGGGAAAGAUAUUGUUUCGGUGGGUGAUGGGCUCGCGGCCUAUCAGCUUGUUGGUGGGGUGAUGGCCUACCAAGGCGGUGACGGGUAGCCGGCCUGAGAGGGUGGACGGUCACACUGGGACUGAGACACGGCCCAGACUCCUAAGGGAGGCAGCAGUGGGGAAUAUUGCACAAUGGGCGCAAGCCUGAUGCAGCGACGCCGCGUGAGGGAUGGAGGCCUUCGGGUUGUGAACCUCUUUCGCCAGUGAAGCAGGCCUGCCUCGUUUGUGGGUGGGUUGACGGUAGCUGGAUAAGAAGCGCCGGCUAACUACGUG